AACCAAGUCAUCUCCCUACCCAGGUACACACUCUGUGGGGAAAGUUGGGGGAGGGACACUGAAUCAGAUACUUUUCAACUUUCUCCAAAUACCAACUUGGGGGACAAUUUCGCUUUAAAAAUUCAAUUUCACCUCCCUUUCUUACCUCCCCUCAUUCUGUCAGAUCCUCUUUUAUUACAUUUUGUCUGUUUAUCCCAACAUCAAGGAUUGAACACAUUUUGCUUUUACUAAUAAACAUACAUCUUUCCCUCUUCUAAAAUAAAUUUUGCUCCAGACCUAUUUUGUCUAAACCAGACUUGACAUAUUUAAGUUUGGAAGACAGUUUUUUAUUUAAUAUUUAACACAUGUUAUCUUUAGACAUGCCAUUUGACCUCUCUAGCCUCAGGGUUCUCAUUUAUAAUAUUAAGUUGGUGGCAUCUUCCCUGCCAAAGGACUAGCGAAGAGUGCUAAUAGCAACUGAUACUUUAUUUCAGUGUUUCCAGAUGACUUCCCCAUCUGUCAUAUGAUUUUUCAAUCUGAUUCUGUGUGGCAGGUAUAAAUCCCCAUUUAAAUGUAAGGAAAUAAUGACUUAGUGAGAUUUAGAAACUUACACAAGGUCAUCAGUUAUUCACUCAACAAAUAGGUACCUCAUAAUUUUGCAAAAAUUUGAGUUAUAAUAAAAACACCUUGUCCCAGUCAACUAGGAGAUAUUUAAUAAAUGCCCAGCAGUACAAACAUCAUUUGAGCAGUGGCAUUUGAUGUAAGCAUAUUAGUUGCCAUUUAUAGAGCACCUACUAUGUUCUAUCAAUAUUUUAAAAUAUACUUUUAGUUAGAAACCUUUCAUUGCCAACAAUAGGCACAGAGGAGCUGGCUUCUGAAGGGAAGGAGAGAACUUAUUAUAAAGGAUACAGAGCUAUCUCGUGGAACCAGCUCAAGGGCAGGCAGGCAGCCAAAUUGCACAAAGGAAGCAGAACCAAAAGAGGAGAAAGUCAUAAAGAAUCCAGGGACUUUUCUCUCUCCUUCUGUCUCAGCUUCUUUCCACACAUCUGUGCCAUUGUUUUAUUUUUCUGCAUAUCAACUUUUUCUGCUGUUUGUUCCAAAUUCUGGAAUAUGUCCAUUCCUCUGCCUUUCUAAAUUUAGUUUGUCUUUUUGUUGCUGCUGCUGCUGCUGUUGUUGUGUGUGUAUUUAAUAUAGACCCUCUCAUUCAAAGAAAAUCUGGAAAGAAUUGGCAUCACUCCGGCUUAAUUCCAAACUCCUGAUGAAUGGCUUGUGUUCAGCGCAGUUUGUAGAACACUCCACCGUGUCUGAGUACAAAAAUGGCAACUGAAAGUAUACCUCACCUGUGCCAUAGUGUGGAAAAUAUAUUGAAAGAGGGCAAGAGUGGGUGCGAGGAAAAUAAUUCAGAGGCUCUUUCACUGUCUCGGGAAAAAAAAAAGAAAAAGAGGAUGAGAGCUGGGAUAAUAGGAGUGAGUAGUGAGGAGUCAGAAUAGCACAAACCAUCAUCUUUAUUCUUAUUUGACUUUAUGUAGGCAGCUCAUUAUAAUAGGCCAAGGAAAAGCCACUGAGCUAUAGAAGCAAACGUUGAGCUGGAACUUAAAUCCAGGUUAAUAAAAAAUAAAAUAAAAAUAAAUAAUAAAUAAAACUGACUUCAAGUUUUAUUCUAUCCUGUGGUACCAGGAUAUGUCUGAGAUAAUAUAUAUUUAUUAUUUAUUAUCAUAUAAGGGUAUGAAACUGGUAAAGAGACAAAUAAUAUUCAGAAAAAUGUUCAAUAAUAGUGAAUCAAGAAGGAAAGAAAAAUUAUCUCCUGGCACAGAAAAUAUUGAAUUCAAAUUCAAAAGACAAAAUAUUUUGCAUAACCUCAAUAUUCUCUUUGUUGCUACUUUAUUUACUUGACCAUGAAAUUUUAUGUGCACACACAGUUCUUUCUAAAAUGAGUUACCACUUUUUUUCUACUUUAAAAAAGCUUUCUUCUCCAGUGUUUAAAACUACGGGUACAGAUGAAAGACUGAGAAAAAAUUAUUUGCCAACCUCCAGGAAACCCAGGAGCAGGCAGAUGUAGGAACAUGCAUCAUAUCUUUUGUUUUGCAGCCAUAGUUAAGUUUAUUUCAUCUCUGCAGGGAUCUUCUCAGAAAAUUUCUUCAUCUCUGGUGAAAUCUACCCUGAAUCCACUAUCAAAGCCAGUGAGGAAGCUGCAGCCCUAAGGGGCCAAGAAACAGAAACCCUGAAUUUUCCCAAAUGCUCCUCCUCCCCUUGGAAGGUGGUGAUACGUCUUUAUUAUGUGACCUUGGCCAAAUCACUUAAGCUCUUAGUGCCUUUGUUUUCUUAUCUAAAGAAUAAGUAUAUAAAGAAUACUUUUCACAUAAGGGUGUGUUCAAAGUGUAAUGGGCCCCAAAUCAGUUAAUACUGAAGUGGGGAGAAAAAGUUGUUAAAUUCCUGAUGAUUUUACAGUUCUGAAGAUGAUCCAGGGGAUAUGGUAUCUUAGAGACAAGCCCUUUUUUCCAAAAUGAAUUUGUGGGUCCAUGUAUUUCAAUAAGUGCCUUAUGCCAUAACUCCAAGGAACAGAGUGAUUUUGAUAUGGUCACCAAUGCUUCUCUUUAUAAUCUCUCUUGGGAAUAUCAGAUAUGCAUCAAUCAGACAUCCACCUCCACCUUUCCAAAAUGGGUUCUACCAGUGUCACCAAUAACUGCAUAAACCCAGAGGUCAGUCCUUGGUCCUGGCCUUCCUUGAUGUACCAGCAGCAUUUAACACAGGUCAUUCCUCUCUGUUCUUGGAACCUUCCCCUCACUUAAUCUUCUAGGUACCAUUUCCCCUCCUCUUCACUUACUUCCUCCUUUGCUGACUCAUCAUCAUGCCCUCAAUCUCGACCUCUAAAAAGUCGGAAUGUGUUAGGGCUCCUUUCUCAGAUUUCUUCUCAUUUCUAUCCAUGGUUACCCCUAGCUAUUGUCAUUUGGUUCCAUGGUUUAAAUUUAUUUGUAGCACUUUAUGAUUUUCUGUCUCUGGGUAGAUAUGUCCUCUGAACUCCAGACGUUUGCAUCCAACUGCUUAUUUGACAUCACUGUUGGGCUGGCUGACGGGCAUCUCAAAAUUAAGUUUCAACAUGGAACUUGGUAUCCCCACCACCUCAUAAUCAGGCUCAUUCCACUGUCUCUCCCUGCUUAGAAAAUGGCAACUCUGCCCUACCAGUAGCUCAAACAAAAUCUUUGAAGUCACCUCGGUUCUUCUCUUUCUUUCACACUCCUCACUCACUCCAUCAGCCAAUCUCAGUAGUGUGUCUGUCCUCACCAACUUGAUCUCUCCUGCUCUGGACCAAGGCAACAUCUUUUGUCUUGAUCCGUGGAAGACUCUCUUAGCCUGACUUUCUGUGAUAUCUUCCUGCCUUGACUACUAUUUUCAACACAACAUAAUUUCUUAAAAUUUAAGCUGCCCCAAUUUUUCCAAGUUUCAUCCAUUUUACUUAGAGCAAAAUCCAAUGCCUUACAAGGGCCCAUGAGGCCCUCCACUCUGCCACUUGCCACACACCAUCUCCUCAUCUCACCCUCUUUGUCCUGCUUCAGCCACACUAGAUUCCUGGGGCUACUGCUGUCUCAGGGCUCUGAGUUUCCCACUCUCAAUAUAACCUACUCCUGCUUUGGCUUUCAAUCUCUAGUGAAAUCCCCCAGUAUGUCUCCUCCAAUAACCCUAAAUAAAAUUACAUUUUUCAACUUCCCUUUAAAUUGUCUGCCACCCCCCAAUUUAUUUUCUCCACCUUUUUUUUUACACUAUUCCAUAUACUGCAUAUUCAUUAGCAUCUUUUCUCCUAUUACUACAAUGCAAUCUUCAAAAGGAUUGGACCUUUGUUACUUUUAAUUGUAGCUUCCAGAUCAGAGCCUGGCAUAAAGAAGACACACAAAUAAAUGUUUGUUAAAUGAGCAAAUAUACUAGGUAUGUGGUCCCUGUCCUGGUAGCCUUCACAGGUUUUGUUCAGUAAGUGCAGCUGGUGUUUUUGAGCACUUAAUCAGUGUCAGGCCUGGUUGAGGGAGCUGAGAACGUAUAAAUUAAGAAAACAUGGCUUUGUCCCUCUAGGAGCUGACAGCCUGGUAGGUGAGACAGAUGAGAUUGUGGGGCUGGUGCCUCUCUCCUCACAGCCACCAUCAGAACUGCAGGGGCCUGAGAAAAGAGUUACCUAUAAGUAGGUAAUUUCUGAAGUGAGCCAGGGAAUAGGGGUAGAAUACCAGAGAGAGUGAAAGAGGGAGAAAGCAAUAUCUGAUAUGAGUGUGUGGUAUCAAGCUGGUCACUUUGCAGGCAACAGAUUUCAAAUCUGCUCUGUCCUGCUGAGAAGUAAUGCAGACCAUGUCUCAGAACCAUGGACGCGAGAUGCAGAGGAAGGGAGCUUCCAGCCACCAGCCCUCCUUCCCCACUUGUUAAGGGUUGUCUAUGGCUUGAUAAUGCAUGCCCUCGUGCUUCCAGGAUGUGUAUGCCAUGGGCAUUGAGAAGCCCUUAGGAGAAAGUGAGAGAUGCCCAGGCAGAUGAACAGGGCACUGGUGGCUUCUACAUGAGGGUCAAUGGGCCACAGCAAGGGUCUGGGAGAGGUGCAAGGUGGAACACACAAGACAUCCAAACAAGGAAGCAGGCAGUGACACAAGAGGUGCUGCAGUAUGUACUUCAGAUAAGUAAAAAUAAAAGACAGGGCUGUAAUAAGACAAACAAAGGUUGAUCACAACUUGAAUGUAAGGAAAAGCUCCGAGGUUGUAGGAUAAUUACAGCAGGGCAGUGAAAGAUGGGCAGAAGUUUGGGUGUUCCUCUUGUGGCUCAGCAAGUUAUGAAACCAACUAGUAUCCAUGAGGAUGCAGGUAUGAUUCCCAGCCUCACUCUGUGGGUUUAGGAUCCGGCAAUGCCAUGAACUGUGAGGUGGGUUGCAGUGAGCUGUGGUGUAGGUCGCAGAUGCAACUCAGAUCCCACGUGGCUGUGGCACAGGCUGGCAGCUGCA
rnacentral:lncRNA from 1 species